CGAAUGACGGACCGGCCAAAAUUUUGUACGUAUGGUGGCAUGUCACGAUUUUUGUGUUGACAAGGGCUGAUAGGGCGUUUUGUGAUGAUAUGCGUCAUCAAAGGCAAACCAAAAAAAAAUCCGAUUGAGAGAGUCUUGAACACCACUUGUGGUCACUAUGUACAAGUUGGCCAUGAUGGGACAUUAAUUAAUUCAAUUUGUGAUUUCGCCUUGAGAUCCCAUGUUAUUGAAAUACCAGUUUAAACUAAGGUAAACCCCAAAAGUUAAAUGCAUCGACUUCGAAUAAUCACAGACACCAUUUUGUUGUUCAUUUAAAACUCAGGGUUAUGCCAGAUUGUGGUGCCAACUCAGAUUGCGUGAGCUUCUCCAUAUUUUAUUUUUUAAAUCACGCAGAUAAUGUUGAGGCAGUAAUUGGGCUCUUGAAACAAUUGUGACCUUUGUGCUUAUAAACAGGAGGUCUGAAAGUUUGGUGCUAUUCCAGUUUGUCUCUCUUUUCUAAUUAUUUGCAUGAUUGUUGCUUAACUAACAUUUGGGUGUAACUAAUUGAUGAUUAUAUUUAUGUAGGUAAAUAAUGUUUGAGGGAGGGUGUGUCGAUUCCGCGAGUUUUCUUUUUUUAUUUAUUUAUUUUUCUGAAGGAUGGGUGGGCUAAUUCUAUUUUUCUUGGUUUUGUUGAAUAAGUUGAAUAGACAUUUACAACACCAGGGUAAUUUAUUUUUCCUUUCUACCCAUAGCGACCGGUACUUGUGUCAGAAGUGAGAGGUGUAGCCUAUUUAAGCAUUUGAAGUCGUCACAAAUCAUAUCCAGGAGUGGCAAACACAGUCCUGAUGGCAGAAAGCACCUCCUGUGCCACCGCACCUGCUCUGGCGUAAGCAGCCUGUUCUUUCGAAGCGAAUGAUGACAGCACCUAAGAAGAAAGCCAGAUAAGAUUGGCAAUGAG